AGGACUCACUCACUCACUCAACUCUCAAGAUUAAUCAUUCAGGCCUUCAAAAUAACAUUUAAGUUCUACAAUUCAACCAAAAUGUAAACUUAUUUACAAACCCAAAAGUCAAAGGUAUGAUACAACAUCAAAUGUCAAAAUAUAUCCUAUCAACCAAAAAGUAUAAGUACAAGAGGGUUACACACUCUAGUUCACAUUCAAUUGCUUCGGACCUCUAUUCCUGUAAGGAAAACAAAAACUAAAGGAAUGAGCUAAAAUCCCAGUGAGGUUCCUAAACAAACAAUCAGGUAGGGAAACCAUGGAAACAUUACAUUUAACAAUUUGUAUACUUUGCACAGUAAUAUCCAGUCAUUUAAGAAAUAAACACUCAAUCAUUGGAAGGAUAUAUGCUCACUUGGAGCCAUUUAUUCAAGUUAUUCAUUCAUUCAUUCACCAACCAUUUUCCUUAUCCCUCCAACAUUAGAAAAUAUUUGCAAGUGAAAACUCCUUCAGUAAUCUUGUCAUUCAUUGAUAUCAUUGCAUUGAAUUCACUGGCCAGUUCUCUACCAGAUUUCGUGGUAAUACUCGAGUAUACCAAACAUUGUCCCAGGGUCACCAGCUGCCCGACCGAGUUUGAUCCUGGCUCGAGUCUACUGGCAACGAAGGCCAAGGGUCCAGUUCAGCCAAAAAGCUUACAUUCAUGCACAAGUAGCAUUCAAUCAUUAAUCAUUGAAAAUUUCACGUUCACUUAGGUCGAGUGCGAUAAAGUACACACUCGCCUAUCGAAAAUUCAUUUAACAAUCAUUGAAAAACAUUUAACAUUCAAGCAAACAUUCACAACAACCCACAUGGUCAUUGGAAGCACAACAUGCAAAGAACACUCACCAAUUUAAGCAAAAUAACGUCAAAAGUUUCCUUCUGGAUUAUGCCCUUGAUCAUCGACAAACCCUAAGAAUAACCAAGAGAAAAUAUUAUGGUUCAACCAUCUAAAGUUUAGAUGAACCAAAGAAAAUCCGAGUAACUACUAGUACAAAGGUGCAAAUAUAGUUUUGGAGUGAAAAGAAAACAUUUAGACUCAAGGGACAUGAGUAACCAAGAAUUUUCCCAUUCCAAUCAUAAACCAAGCUCAAAAUGGUUUAACAACUCCAACUUAAAGUUGGAAAUGAAAGUAAGGACAGUUUUAGGAAAAUAGAAUUUUUCUAGUUUUGUGCGAUGCUAUUUGAAAAAUCAUAUCUCAAGCUUCUUAAGUCCAAAAUUUAUAAAAUUUAUACCGUUGGAAAAUAGAUUCAAAGAGUUACAAUUUCUCAGAAGACACCUUUGCAAGAUUCUGUCCACAAGUCAGUCAAAAUCAAAUCUCAAGUGGCUGCUUUAUCCAGUAGAAAGACAGAACAGGAAUGGAAAUUCAGUCAAGUUUGGAAAAUCACAGAUAUUCAUAGAUAUUGAGGAAAAUUCUAAAAUUUUCAUGGUACAAAGUAAUCUGAAUCUAGUUUCAAACGCAACAAGUAGAACUGAAUUUGGAAUUUUUUACACCAUGAUAUGACAGAUUUCCCAAGACUGCUUAGAGUCUCCCGUGGGAAAAAUUUCAGCAGCACUUCCUUUGUAUUUACCAAUUUUUCCAGCCAUUUCAAGGCUACACUUUCACCACAAGACAGCCCCAAUCAAGUUCACAAGAUAUAGGAUACAUAGAGUACUUAUUUUAACCACAAAACUAGCUAUAACCAACAUAUAACUAAGCUGGAAAUUAAUCAAACCCUAGCAACAACAUCACCAAACCCUAGCAAAACCAUGAAAUUACCAUAAACAUGCUUCCUUCAACUUCAAUUAUAACAUAUCUUGCAUAAAUCUCAAGAAACAAGCAAAAAGAGAUGUUUUCUAGAAAUUUUACCUCAAAACCCCAAGAUAACAAGCAGCUCAAGAGUUUUCUUCCCCAAGUAACUCCACCAAAAGCUUCCCUCCAAGCUUAACUCAAGAUUAAUCGGUAUGGAUUAGGGUUAGUGUUUGGAGUUUUCACAAAUCAAGCAAGGAAAUCAAGAUGGAAUUUUUAAGUU
rnacentral:lncRNA from 1 species